rnacentral:rRNA from 1 species
GACGAACGCUGGCGGCGUGCUUAACACAUGCAAGUCGAACGGAAAGGCCCUGCUUUUGUGGGGUGCUCGAGUGGCGAACGGGUGAGUAACACGUGAGUAACCUGCCCUUGACUUUGGGAUAACUUCAGGAAACUGGGGCUAAUACCGGAUAGGAGCUCCUGCUGCAUGGGGUGGGUUGGAAAGUUUCGGCGGUUGGGGAUGGACUCGCGGCUUAUCAGCUUGUUGGUGGGGUAGUGGCUUACCAAGGCUUUGACGGGUAGCCGGCCUGAGAGGGUGACCGGCCACAUUGGGACUGAGAUACGUCCCAGACUCCUACGGGAGGCAGCAGUGGGGAAUAUUGCACAAUGGGCGGAAGCCUGAUGCAGCAACGCCGCGUGCGGGAUGACGGCCUUCGGGUUGUAAACCGCUUUCGCCUGUGACGAAGCGUGAGUGACGGUAAUGGGUAAAGAAGCACCGGCUAACUACGUG